rnacentral:tRNA from 1 species
CAGAGCAUAGCCAAAUUAGUAAGGCAUCUCGUUUACACUGAGUAAUUGUCUGUUCAAGUCAGACUGCCCUGA